rnacentral:rRNA from 1 species
AUUGAACGCUGGCGGCAUGCUUUACACAUGCAAGUCGAACGGUAACAGGCCGCAAGGUGCUGACGAGUGGCGAACGGGUGAGUAAUGCAUCGGAACGUGCCCAGUCGUGGGGGAUAACGCAGCGAAAGCUGCGCUAAUACCGCAUCCGAUCUAUGGAUGAAAGCGGGGGACCGUAAGGCCUCGCGCUAUUGGAGCCGCCGAUGUCAGAUUAGGUAGUUGGUGGGGUAAAGGCUCACCAAGCCAACGAUCUGUAGCUGGUCUGAGAGGACGACCAGCCACACUGGGACUGAGACACGGCCCAGACUCCUACGGGAGGCAGCAGUGGGGAAUUUUGGACAAUGGGCGCAAGCCUGACCCAGCAAUGCCGCGUGCAGGAAGAAGGCCUUCGGGUUGUAAACUGCUUUUGUACGGAACGAAAGGGCUCUGGUUAAUACCUGGGGCUCAUGACGGUACCGUAAGAAUAAGCACCGGCUAACUACGUGCCAGCAGCCGCAGUAAGAC